CGGGGCUAAUACCGGAUAACAUUUUGAACCGCAUGGUUCGAAAUUGAAAGGCGGCUUCGGCUGUCACUUAUGGAUGGACCCGCGUCGCAUUAGCUAGUUGGUGAGGUAACGGCUCACCAAGGCAACGAUGCGUAGCCGACCUGAGAGGGUGAUCGGCCACACUGGGACUGAGACACGGCCCAGACUCCUACGGGAGGCAGCAGUAGGGAAUCUUCCGCAAUGGACGAAAGUCUGACGGAGCAACGCCGCGUGAGUGAUGAAGG
rnacentral:rRNA from 1 species